GCCGGCAGAGCUGGGCCCGGUUCAGCACCUCCCUUGUAAGGAGGGAUUUCCGAGUUCAAAUCUCGGUGCCGGCU
rnacentral:tRNA from 1 species